GUAGGUGGCAAGCGUUGUCCGAAUUAUGGGCGUAAAGCGCGCGCAGGCGGGGUCCUUUUAAGUCUGAUGUGAAAGCCCACGGGCUCAACCGUGGAGGGUCAUUGGAAACUGGGGGACUUGAGUACAGAAGAGGAAAGCGGAAUUCCAAGUGUAGCGGUGAAAUGCGUAGAGAUUUGGAGGAACACCAGUGGCGAAGGCGGCUCUCUGGUCUGUAACUGACGCUGAGGCGCGAAAGCGUGGGGAGCAAACAGGAUUAGAUACCCUGGUAGUCCACGCCGUAAACGAUGAGUGCUAAGUGUUAGGGGGGUUUCCGCCCCCUUAGUGCUGCAGCUAACGCAUUAAGCACUCCGCCUGGGGAGUACGGCCGCAAGGCUG
rnacentral:rRNA from 1 species